CUACGUAGCUCAGAGUUUGAUCCUGGCUCAGGAUGAACGCUGGCGGCGUGCAUAACACAUUCAAGUCGAACGGAACGUUUGGGGCUUGCUCCGAACGUUUAGUGGCGGACGGGUGAGUAACGCGUGAGCAAUCUGCCUCUGUGUACGGAAUAACAGCCGGAAACGACUGCUGAUACCGUAUGAAGUAUAGAUUUCGCAUGGAGCCUACACCAAAGAGCAAUCGUACAGAGAUGAGCUUGCGUCCGAUUAGGUAGUUGGUGAGGUAACGGCCCACCAAGCCGACGAUCGGUAGCCGAACUGAGAGGUUGAACGGCCACAUUGGAACUGAGAUACGGUCCAG
rnacentral:rRNA from 1 species